rnacentral:rRNA from 1 species
UCUCCUGGAAACGGGUGGUAAUGCCGGAUGCUCCGCCCCCUCGCAUGGGGGGUCGGGAAGGCUUUUGCGGAAUGGGAUGGGGUCGCGUCCUAUCAGCUUGUUGGCGGGGCGACGGCCCACCAAGGCUUCGACGGGUAGCCGGCCUGAGAGGGCGACCGGCCACAUUGGGACUGAGAUACGGCCCAGACUCCUACGGGAGGCAGCAGUGGGGAAUAUUGCACAAUGGGGGGAACCCUGAUGCAGCGACGCCGCGUGCGGGAUGGAGGCCUUCGGGUCGUGAACCGCUUUUGAUUGGGAGCAAGCGUGAGUGAGUGUACCUUUCGAAUAAGCACCGGCUAACUACGUGCCAGCAGCCGCGGUAAUACGUAGGGUGCAAGCGUUGUCCGGAAUCAUUGGGCGUAAAGGGCUCGUAGGCGGUUUCGUCGCGUCCGGUGUGAAAGCCCAUCGCUUUAACGGUGGGGUCUUGCGCCCGGGGUACGGGCGGGCUUGAGUGCGGCAAGGGGAGGCUGGGAAUUCCCGGUGUAACGGUGGAAAUGUGUAGAAUAUCCGGGAAGAACACCCA